rnacentral:rRNA from 1 species
AACGUAGGAGACAAACGUUAUCCGGAGUUACUGGGCGUAAAGGGCGUGUAGGUGGUUUCGUAAGUCUGGCGUGAAAUUUCCCGGCUUAACCGGGAGUGGUCGUCGGAUACUGCGGGACUAGAGGACGGUAGAGGCGUGUGGAAUUCCGGGUGUAGUGGUGAAAUGCGUAGAGAUCCGGAGGAACACCAGUGGCGAAGGCGACACGCUGGGCCGUACCUGACACUGAUGCGCGACAGCAUGGGGAGCAAACAGG